UUAGGUAAACGCUGCAUGAACAAUGUAGAGGAAAGUCCAUGCUCACACUAUCUGUGAUGAUAGUAGUGUUCGCGCAUAGGGAAAAAAUAACCUAUGGUAGUUUAUACUAACGGCUUCGAAUAAACCGUUUAGGUUUUAGUAGAUAUAAAAGUGCUAUAGUGACGAAUUGAUUUAGAAAUGAAUCAAGUGAGACGACGUAAACCCCGCGAGUGAGAAACCCAAAUUAUGGUAGGGGAACUAAUUUUGGAGAAACGAAUUUAAAAAUUAGAUCGAAAGAUAGAUAAAUGUUUACCAACAAAUUUAUUUGUUACAGAACAUGGCUUAUU
rnacentral:RNase_P_RNA from 1 species